CUGUGAGCUCGAUGAGUAGGGCGGGACACGUGGUAUCCUGUCUGAAUAUGGGGGGACCAUCCUCCAAGGCUAAAUACUCCUGACUGACCGAUAGUGAACCAGUACCGUGAGGGAAAGGCGAAAAGAACCCCGGCGAGGGGAGUGAAAAAGAACCUGAAACCGUGUACGUACAAGCAGUGGGAGCACGCUUAGGCGUGUGACUGCGUACCUUUUGUAUAAUGGGUCAGCGACUUAUAUUCUGUAGCAAGGUUAACCGAAUAGGGGAGCCGAAGGGAAACCGAGUCUUAACUGGGCGUUAAGUUGCAGGGUAUAGACCCGAAACCCGGUGAUCUAGCCAUGGGCAGGUUGAAGGUUGGGUAACACUAACUGGAGGACCGAACCGACUAAUGUUGAAAAAUUAGCGGAUGACUUGUGGCUGGGGGUGAAAGGCCAAUCAAACCGGGAGAUAGCUGGUUCUCCCCGAAAGCUAUUUAGGUAGCGCCUCGUGAAUUCAUCUCCGGGGGUAGAGCACUGUUUCGGCAAGGGGGUCAUCCCGACUUACCAACCCGAUGCAAACUGCGAAUACCGGAGAAUGUUAUCACGGGAGACACACGGCGGGUGCUAACGUCCGUCGUGAAGAGGGAAACAACCCAGACCGCCAGCUAAGGUCCCAAAGUCAUGGUUAAGUGGGAAACGAUGUGGGAAGGCCCAGACAGCCAGGAUGUUGGCUUAGAAGCAGCCAUCAUUUAAAGAAAGCGUAAUAGCUCACUGGUCGAGUCGGCCUGCGCGGAAGAUGUAACGGGGCUAAACCAUGCACCGAAGCUGCGGCAGCGACGCUUAUGCGUUGUUGGGUAGGGGAGCGUUCUGUAAGCCUGCGAAGGUGUGCUGUGAGGCAUGCUGGAGGUAUCAGAAGUGCGAAUGCUGACAUAAGUAACGAUAAAGCGGGUGAAAAGCCCGCUCGCCGGAAGACCAAGGGUUCCUGUCCAACGUUAAUCGGGGCAGGGUGAGUCGACCCCUAAGGCGAGGCCGAAAGGCGUAGUCGAUGGGAAACAGGUUAAUAUUCCUGUACUUGGUGUUACUGCGAAGGGGGGACGGAGAAGGCUAUGUUGGCCGGGCGACGGUUGUCCCGGUUUAAGCGUGUAGGCUGGUUUUCCAGGCAAAUCCGGAAAAUCAAGGCUGAGGCGUGAUGACGAGGCACUACGGUGCUGAAGCAACAAAUGCCCUGCUUCCAGGAAAAGCCUCUAAGCAUCAGGUAACAUCAAAUCGUACCCCAAACCGACACAGGUGGUCAGGUAGAGAAUACCAAGGCGCUUGAGAGAACUCGGGUGAAGGAACUAGGCAAAAUGGUGCCGUAACUUCGGGAGAAGGCACGCUGAUAUGUAGGUGAAGUCCCUCGCGGAUGGAGCUGAAAUCAGUCGAAGAUACCAGCUGGCUGCAACUGUUUAUUAAAAACACAGCACUGUGCAAACACGAAAGUGGACGUAUACGGUGUGACGCCUGCCCGGUGCCGGAAGGUUAAUUGAUGGGGUNAGCGCAAGCGAAGCUCUUGAUCGAAGCCCCGGUAAACGGCGGCCGUAACUAUAACGGUCCUAAGGUAGCGAAAUUCCUUGUCGGGUAAGUUCCGACCUGCACGAAUGGCGUAAUGAUGGCCAGGCUGUCUCCACCCGAGACUCAGUGAAAUUGAACUCGCUGUGAAGAUGCAGUGUACCCGCGGCAAGACGGAAAGACCCCGUGAACCUUUACUAUAGCUUGACACUGAACAUUGAGCCUUGAUGUGUAGGAUAGGUGGGAGGCUUUGAAGUGUGGACGCCAGUCUGCAUGGAGCCGACCUUGAAAUACCACCCUUUAAUGUUUGAUGUUCUAACGUGGACCCGUAAUCCGGGUUGCGGACAGUGUCUGGUGGGUAGUUUGACUGGGGCGGUCUCCUCCUAAAGAGUAACGGAGGAGCACGAAGGUUGGCUAAUCCUGGUCGGACAUCAGGAGGUUAGUGCAAUGGCAUAAGCCAGCUUGACUGCGAGCGUGACGGCGCGAGCAGGUGCGAAAGCAGGUCAUAGUGAUCCGGUGGUUCUGAAUGGAAGGGCCAUCGCUCAACGGAUAAAAGGUACUCCGGGGAUAACAGGCUGAUACCGCCCAAGAGUUCAUAUCGACGGCGGUGUUUGGCACCUCGAUGUCGGCUCAUCACAUCCUGGGGCUGAAGUAGGUCCCAAGGGUAUGGCUGUUCGCCAUUUAAAGUGGUACGCGAGCUGGGUUUAGAACGUCGUGAGACAGUUCGGUCCCUAUCUGCCGUGGGCGCUGGAGAAUUGAGGGGGGCUGCUCCUAGUACGAGAGGACCGGAGUGGACGCAUCACUGGUGUUCGGGUUGUCAUGCCAAUGGCACUGCCCGGUAGCUAAAUGCGGAAGAGAUAAGUGCUGAAAGCAUCUAAGCACGAAACUUGCCCCGAGAUGAGUUCUCCCUGACUCCUUGAGAGUCCUGAAGGAACGUUGAAGACGACGACGUUGAUAGGCCGGGUGUGUAAGCGCAGCGAUGCGUUGAGCUAACCGGUACUAAUGAACCGUGAGGCUUAACCUU
rnacentral:rRNA from 1 species